AUGCAGCCUGCUUCUGCAAAGUGGUACCAUGGAAGGGACUAUGUCUUUGUUGAAUUUUGAGUUGAAGACAGUAAAGAUGUUAAUGUAAAUUUUGAAAAAUCCAAACUUAUGUUCAGUUGUCUUGGAGGAAGUGAUCAUUUUAAACGUUUAAAUGAAAUUGAUCUUUUUCACUGAUCCCAGUGAUUCCAAGCAUAAAAGAAGGGACAGGUCAAUUUUAUGUUGUUUACGAAAAGGAGAAUCUGGCCAGUCUUGGCCAAGGUUCACAAAAGAAAGGGCAAAGCUUAAUGGGCUUAGUGGGGACUCCAAUAAUUGGAAGGACUGGGAAGAUGAUUCAGAUGAAGACAUGUCUAAUUUUGAUCGUUUCUCUGAGAUGAUGAACAACAUGGGUGGUGAUGAGGAUGUAGAUUUACCAGAAGUAGAUGGAGCAGAUGAUGAUUUGCAAGACAGUGAUGAUGAAAAAAUGCCAGAUCUGGAGUAAGAAAUACUGUCAUCACCCAGAUUUUGAGAAAGACAAAUAACUUCUCUGCAAGAUUUCAUAAUUGAGACAAUUCCUGAGUUGAUAGCUGUGUUUGCCUCCUUUAACCCAUUUUUCAACCUGUUUGUUUUUUAAAGGCUUCUUUAAGGAUUGAAAUGUACCAUUGUAUGGGGCAAUUUUAAUCAGCUAAGGCAAUAACCUUAUGCAUGAUCAUUUCCCAGACUUCCACGAAGCUGUUGAGGUCCUAGGCAAUUGAUAACAGCAGUUGUGAUAAAUAAAAGCAUUUCACCUAAAGUCUCCUUUUCUUCAUAACAUAGAUACUGACAUGAUAGGAAGUUUUCAGCUUAGGGAAAGAUAACUAAAUUUAGAUUUUUAGAACAGGGACUCAAAAGUGGCCAAAACAACUUGGCUGACACCUUAAACUGGUAACCUGCUUUUCCUCUGGUUUAUCCUUCAGGAUUGUUCCACUAAAGUUUAUUUUUUUAAAAAAUUUACUUCACAUUAUUGUAUGUUAAGUGAUCACUUGUCAGUGUUCCAGAUGUAUCUUAGUAAAACUAGUGAAUGCCCUAACUUAGAUGGUUUUUGAAGCCUAUACAUUUGGUAUUGUUUGGCCCUUAAGCUUUUACAUCUUUUAGCAUGGAGGACAAAGAAAGCUGUACAUUGUUGCUUGAGGAUCUGUACAUUUAGACCAGAUGUGUAUUUGCACUGUCAGUAUGGCAAAUGAGUGAAAAAAUGUUUAUACGCUAUUGGAUUUUUUUAUUUCUUUUCUUUUUUUAUUCAGCUUAUACCAAGGGCUGAAAACCUCAAUUUAUGUUUAUGACAGUGGGGAUUUUUUUUAAACGUCUACAUACUUUCUCAUAAACUGUUGG